AUCAAUAAACAAACGCACUACAGAACGUAAUCCAGAGGCUGCCAUCUGCGGCGCCAUCUUGUUCUUCAUGCACAGGUAAAUUACACAAGGAUACAUCUGUUUCUCACCCAGCAGUGCAGGUUCUGGUCCAAGAUCUUAUCAUCCCUCACCUAGACUACUGCAACUUGCUCCUGUUUGGUGUGCCUGCAUGUGCCAUCUGACCUCUGCAACUCAUCCAGACCGUCCAGGACAUGGUCAAACCAGACAGCAAAUCCAUCCACCAGGCCCAUCGGCUUGCUACUCCUUCACCACAAGGGAGAUGGGUGUGAUUCCAACUGAGCCCCCUUCCGGCUGUUUGGAGGACAAUUAUGAGAUAUGCGGCUGUAUCACAUGACCAGGAUCCAGGACCCAGUUACUAGAUGUCAACACCUUUUGAAGAACAAUGGGAGGUUCUGUAAAUGUCCAGCAACAUGCUGAAAGCUUCAGGAUGCAUUACACACUUGCAGACAAGUAGAACAGACCCUGUUCUAAAGGCAUAUGAUUGCCCAUGCUACUUUUUUCAAUGCUUCAUAUGUUUGUAUGGUAGGUCUUUCCAUCAUUGUGACAACGUCCUGUUUAUAAACACAAUUAAAAGAACUUGUUCAUUCCAACUCUUUGGAUGUAUUGCUUCUCAUUUGAAUUAACAACACACUAUUUCUGUCACAAAUAAAAGCUAUGCAUUGUAA